rnacentral:tRNA from 1 species
GGAGGCGUAGUGAAAUUGGCAUAAUACCACACUGUCACUGUGGAGUUUGGGGUUCGAGUCCCCCGCUUUCG